ACAAGCGGCGGAGCAUGCGAUUAAUUCGAUGCAACGCGAAGAACCUUACCAAGGCUUGACAUACACCGGUAACGCCCAGAGAUGGGUGCCCCUUUGUGGUCGGUGUACAGGUGGUGCAUGGUUGUCGUCAGCUCGUGUCGUGAGAUGUUGGGUUAAGUCCCGCAACGAGCGCAACCCUCGUCCUAUGUUGCCAGCGGGUCAUGCCGGGGACUCAUGGGAGACUGCCGGGGUCAACUCGGAGGAAGGUGGGGAUGACGUCAAAUCAUCAUGCCCCUUAUGUCUUGGGCUUCACGCAUGCUACAAUGGCCGGUACAAAGGGCUGCGAUACCGCGAGGUGGAGCGAAUCCCAGAAAGCCGGUCUCAGUUCGGAUUGGGGUCUGCAACUCGACCCCAUGAAGUCGGAGUCGCUAGUAAUCGCAGAUCAGCAACGCUGCGGUGAAUACGUUCCCGGGCCUU
rnacentral:rRNA from 1 species